rnacentral:rRNA from 1 species
CCCUUAGACGCUCUAGGCGGCACGCGCGCUACAAUGGGUGGUAGAACGUGUAACUGCUCCCGAAAGGGAGGGUGAACCACGAAUACUUACCCGUGAAUGGGAUAGUUUGUUGCAAUUUUCGGACUUGAACUAGGAAUCCCUUGUAAGAAUGCUCAAGAAUAGCGUGCUGAAUACGUCCCUGCCGUUUGUACACACCGCCCGUCGUUUCUUCCGACUGAUACCCAUUGUGAGUUGCAAGGAUUCUUAUUGAAAAAUUGCUGCGAAUGCUUUGUAUUGGAGGAAGAAAAAGUCGUAACA